GGCGGAGCUUGCAGUGAGCCGAGAACUCGCCACUGCACUCCAGACUGGGCAACAGAGCGAGACUCAGUUUCAAAAACAAAAAGUGCAUGCACACGUCACUGCAUUUGCAUGCGUGCCUGAAGAAGGAGGGAUCCAGGGAUGUUGGUGUGUUUAGAGAGCCAAGAAUAAAUUAGGAAAGUUGAAAUUUUUAAUACCGUCUGACCAAGCGAUGGGGAAAGGUACCUAAGUGGAAUUUAAGCACAAUCCAAAUUUAAGACAAAAACACAAUCAUUCUUGUCUUUCUCACUGCUUAUCACAUUGAGUGCCUUCUCAUAGACAUUCUAAAACACUGAAAAUUACUUUUAUUCAUAUCUGCAGAAUCUUCUUGAAAUUCAUUUAUUUAAAAACUGCAGGAUAUUAAAGAGUUAGCCCUAUGCCUCUUCAAAACAAAGCUAUGUCAGGACCACACAAAUGAUACAGAUUGAACAGACCUCAAAGAAAAAAUACGCUUUAAGCAAAAGCUAAACAUCUGUUGUUCAUAAAGCUUGCCAUAGUGCUAAGGGCAAGAAAAACUUAAAGGGGUAAGCUCUUUUUUCUAUCAAGGAGCGAUUCUUCUAGUUGAGGAGAAGGUAUCUAUGUGAAACAAAAGGAUAAGCAGUUCUAAAACCAAAACUAAUGAAUAUAUAGAUAUAUGUGUAUUAUAUAUGUAUUCUUAUAUGAAGGGGUGCCAGUGAAUGGGGGAGCACUUUUUAAAGUGGAUAAGUUGUUCUUUGUCUUGAAGUAAGUACAGGAUUUGGACUGAUGGAAAGGGAAAGCAUGAGAAUGCAAAAGAGCCCACAGGCGAGGAGCAAAGGAUAUGAGAGAGGACAGCAGUAGAGCCAGUUCAUGAAGAGACGUGACUGCUGGAAUAAAGAUUUCAGCUUUGCUUUGAUACGUGCGUAAAAGCUACAGUAAGGUGUUUAUAUGUUUGAUUCAUGUGGGCUUUUAUUCCUUAACUUGGGCAUUGAUUUACUAAUUCAGCAAGUGCAGUGCACAUUACAUACCUAGAAUACAUCAGGCUCUCUGUUAGGGCUAGGGCAGUGGUUCUGGAUCAGGGGCAAUAUUGGCCCCCAGGAAGCACUGAGCACUGUCUGGAGAUGUUCUUCAAGGGUCGCAAUGCGGGUAGGUGGCUACUAGCAUUUAGUGGGUAGAGGGCCCGAAUGCUGCUAAACCUCCUACAAUGCACAGAAUAACACCCCCCACAGCAAAGAAUAUUGAAAUUUCCAGCCCCAAACAUCAAUAUUGCUGCUGUUGAGAAACGCUGGGCUGCAUGGUACAGGUAUCUGAGAUGUAGUUCUUACCUGCUCUGGGAAUCCAAGGGCAGUUGAGGCUGUAAACUAAUAAUUCCACUCUAGUAGGUUCCCACAAUCGAAGCACGUAUCAGGUACUAUGGAAGAGCAGAAGAUGCCACUCGCUCUGCUUCAGGUUGGAAGGUGUCCUGGAGGAAAGUUGCAUUGGAGAGGAAUCUUGGAAGGUGAGCCAGAGCUUGCCAGGUAGGGAAGGUGGGUGGAAGGAGCCAGUUCAAAAAUGUAGCAUAUUUGGGGGCCAGUGGGCAGUUUGGCAUGACUGAAAUACAGCGUAUGUGGUUGGAUGGGUUGGGAUGAAAUAAUGGGAGAUGGGGUUGGGAAGUUAGGUUGGGGUCUUAUCCAGGAAGGUGCUAGAGGCCCUGGUAACCCCUACUCCCAGCCCUACUGAUAAGGUCAGUGUCCACAAAGAUCAUAAAAGGGAAUCAAGAAGUGCUGGCUUCCUCAGUUCUGUUCACUGCACUCUUGUCUCUUGUCCAUAGAUCUUACUUCCUAGCCUGGGCUCUGCCGAGCAUGUGUCCUCUGAGUUUUUAGUAAAGUAAAGGGAAUAGCAAAAUAAAACCAUUGCUAGUAAUGUACCCUAGAGAUGGAAGCUGUCAGGUAAUCAUUUAGAAUUUAAAAGCUCGUCUCCACAUUCCUUCAGAUGAAGAAAACGGUAGGAUAAAAAUAUAGCACAGCUUAUUAGUAACAUCUUACCCAUUUUUUCCCUAAAUGGUUAGAACACGCUGCCUUUCCGUGCUCUGUACAUCAGCGUUUCCGUUAUUAAAGCUAUUUUUCAGUUCUAAAUCCUAGGAGGAUUUUCCCCCAUGAAUUUAACAUGACUAAGGAAACUUGCUCCAGGGUAAAACUUUGCUGCAAAUUAUCUGAGAUAGGCUUCUUAAUAAAGAGACCAAAAAUGAAUCAUAGCCUUUUAGUAGUUUCAAAUGUGGAGUUACCGUUCUCCUUCAUCCCCACUAUCAUGAUUAUUCAUAAUGGAAACGGGCCAGCUUUAUAAAUAAUUACACACAACAAGAGUCCUUUGUGUUCAACACUGGAGGCUGCUGCUGAUGCGGGCCGGGAGAGUGUGUGUGCAAGAGUUACGGGAGACAGCACACAAGCCAGGCAAAGCUGUGGCGUCUAAGCUUCUCAAAAGGUCAUCCCUACACAUGAGGAGAUGGAGGAGUCUUGCCAUGUUGUCCAAGCUGGUCUCAAACUCCCAGACCUCAGCCUCUCGAGUAGCUUCGUCUACAGGAACAUGCCAUCUUUCUCCUUUUAAGAAGAAGCCAUGCCUCCCUUCUCCCCUCUGACACAAUAAACAGCAACAGAGAGAGGGGCAGAAGAAUGAACCUAAUGACUAAAGGAAGGACAAAGUGGAAGAAGAUAAAGAACAAGGGAAUAAAAAACACUUUUCUGUGAAUGUAGGUGAACCAAGUAUCUUUGUUGGCUGAGUUAGCAAAGGGGAAGUCUAUGGGGAGAUGACAGUGAAGCAGGAAAUUUCCCUGACCCCUUUGCAGAUGGGAACUGGAGUGCAGGUGCUGGAGCUAGCCGGCUGCUUCGGCACCAGCAGGGGCAAACUCCACUCACUCGAAUCCAUUGCCCUCAGCCCCUCGCGGGAGGGAACACACAGGUGAGUGGAUGCAGGAACCGGGGUGAGCGCUUUGAGGCACCAGCAGGAGCAAAACUUUGUGUGGGUCCUGUGGCAGCAUCUAGAGGGGAGAACUUGUGAUGCUGUCCACAGACAACUGAAGUAUUAAACAACUCAGUGUUGCAGUGAGCCGAGACCGCGCCACUGCACUCCAGCCUGGGCGACAGAGCGAGACUCCGCCUCAAACAAAAAAAACAAAAAACAAAAAACAAAAAAAACCAAAUAAACAGCUCAGUGGGCCCUCUGCCUUUUUGCAUGAGGUAGUUGCUUUCCACCAGCAAGGGCAGAAGGUCAGUGUGACAGCCUUUGGAAUCUGUACCUGUGGCACCUGAUCUCUUGUUCAGUGUCCAGGAAAAAAUCAGGUAGCAUGAACAAAUUGAAGAGUGGUGAAUGUGGAGGAUUUUAUUGCUGAGGAAAGUGAUGAAAGUGAUGAAGGGAAGCUGAAAGGGGAUGGAGCAGGAAGCUAUGCUGUCAAGCUGUCUCUCUGAUGUCAAGCUGCUUCUCUCCAACACCCAGCUGCUUCUCCUCCCUCUGACAGCUGAGCCUGGGGGUUUUAUGGGCACAAGACUGGGGGCAGGGUAGGCAGUGGGUGGUUUUGGAAAAGGCAAAAUUCCAGCCAGAAAACAGAGAUGUAAACUCUCACUUUGGGCCACGGUAUGGGUUUUUCAGCUUGAGGAUGGGGCCCUCACCACGGACCUGCCCUCUUCUGCCCAGAAUUUCUCAGCCUCCUGUCCCUAUCAACAGUAAAAUAAACAUGUGAAAUUAACACAUUUGCUGCUUCUCUUCUCUUUGUGGCUCUGCAUUACUUACGAACCAUGAGGGUAAAUUUCAACGGCAGGAGAGUGAAGGUGGUGGGAUUCUUUCCAAAAUUUCUCUGACCAUCUCUAUGCAGUUUGUCAAGAGAAGGAAGACACAAGCUGCACCUCUUACUGCAGGCCGUACUGAGGCUUUAUGCAAGAAAUCAAUUACAAGUUAUCCAUAGAGAUAAAGUUCUGGGUGCCCCAGAACUUUAUCAAGUUGCUCAACUACAGCUGUAAAAGGAGGAUAAGUCUAUCUAGCAGAGCCUCAGUUUACUGUCCUAGAACUUGAAUAUCCAUGGCUUGGGAAUAAAGGAAUGAUCACAUUUGAAUGCAAAUGUCCAGGGAAAGCAGAUGUAGCUUGUUAUCUUGAAUAAUCUGAGUAAUAAGACAAUGCCACCUGUUACUUAAUGAAAACCAAAGACUGUCCUUGCCUCAAUGCUCUAGAUGCCAGCCACAAGGGCCAGCACCGUUCCAGGUGUCUCCCUACACAUGGACAAGCAUUUCAUCUGCCAGUCUUGCAUCUGUAAACACAUCUGCUCAGGACAUUCCCUGCACAAAACACUCAGUAACUCCCCAUAGCAUGCAGAGUUCAACUCAUACUCCUCAGCCUGGCAGUAAAAACCUUUCAUCACUUAACAUCUACAUAACUUUCCAUCUCAGGUCCCUGUCCCACCUGCCAUUCCACCCACUGUUGAGGCUGGCAUCAGCUACUCAGCUCCCUGAAUGUGCUUUGCAUCCCCCUCUCUUCUCACUCCUGGACUUUUGCUGAAAUGUUUCAGAUGCUUAGGGAGCACUUUUCUCUUGCUUCCCUGUACUGCAGAGAUAUUCACCUGACCUAAACUUUCUUCAGGGGCCAGCUUAAAUCUCACUACUUGCCAAAUUCUUCCAUGCAAAAUCAAUUUCUUCCUCCAUUGUAAUACCAUAGCACUUUGCACCAACACAUACCAUCAGAGGCGUGUAUGUGUGUUUCAUGCAUAUGCCUAGAUUACAAUAGUUCCUUCAUAGCAUUUACCAUUAUGUGGCAUAUUAUACAUUUACUUAUGUAUUUUGUAUUGUCUGUCUCCUCUUCCAGAAAGUACAAAAAUUUUGUAUGCUUUAUUACUGCACUCCCAAUGCCUAGAACAGUGCCUAGCAGAUAGUAAAGGCUCAAUAAAUAUUUGCUAAAUAAAUAGAUGAAUGGGAGCCUAGAGAUCCCAGACUGUCUUGUUCAUCUCCUCAUCACCCCAGAGUGGCUGGCGAAGUGCUUUGCACAUGCUUCUUGAAUCUGACUGGAUGGAAGAGCUGGCCACCUGGGUUUGGCUAUGUACAUCUCCUCUGCUUUGAACAGAAGACAUGGAUUUAACUGCCAGUUACGCAGCUGCGGUGCUAUAAGCCAGGCAGACAUGAUGGGGGCUGAGACUCAUACAGGAAACCCCUAGGUUAAUGGGCAGCCCUAAUUGCUAAAUCUAAUUAGGAAGGAAAUCAGUUAAAUUAGGAAUCCUUCAUGUAAGAAAACCAAACAAAAAGCUGUUGAGCAAAAUUUUUCAUUCUUCAUUCGCUUUAAUCAGCUUCCUUGAAGAAGAAGAGAGGAUAGCAGGAUUUCAGGAGGAGUGUUUUAUUGGGCCAAAAGCCAUGCUCCCACGACUACAGAACCCCAAAAAGAAAGAACAACAUGGUCUUUGGCCACUAGGUUCCUCUUUGGCAUGUGCUCUGGAGGAAGCUGCCUCGUCACCUCUCCAAAGAGCCUGAGGAUUAUCGCUGUGAAAGCUCAGGCUCUCAGGCUUGAAUCGUUGCCAACAGGCUUCCAAUUUGAAGGGCUGAUCCUCUUAAUUGAGCAAAAGCACACCGUCCCCACCUCCCCCCACUGAAGCAAGCGACGCAGAAGCACCAUGCAAUUCACCUCUACUGCUGAAGCGGUUACUUGUGUGGUCUUCAGUCAUUUGGUCCGGAAAGACUGAUAUUUUUCUCAAUAUUUGCCAUUUUAAUGUGUUUGCAUCAUCAUCUUCUGCAGCACCUUAAGUAACACAGAGCUGCCUCUUUCUUUUUUCUUGAGAAACCCAUCAGAUAGAUAUGAAAACAAAGAGAUACAAUAAUAUGAAUAUCCCUAAGAAUUACCAUCAAUACCAACAGGAUUGAUAUUUGUGAAAAACUAUAUAUACAUCUAUACAGUAUAUUCAAGGCAAAUAUUCAGGAAGCAGAGUGGUCACGUUAGUAUCAGCUCCAUCAGGAUUCUAGGUAAGCUCUUUCACAAACCUUGUGAACUGGGACAAGUCGAAUAAGCUCUCUAAACUUUGACUUCCUCAUCUGUAAAAUAGGAAUAAAGAUAAUACCUGUUCAUGGUCAUUUUGUGAAGAUGAAAUGAGAUAAUGCCAUAAAGCACUAAACACUGUGCCCAGAAUAUAGUAACCACUCCGUACAUGGUGAUUGAAUACAUUAAUAGGCUGCCAGGCAUCCUCCAACCACUGGCCCAGACUGGCUACAUUUCUGAGACAAUGGGACUUAUCCU